AGAUGAAAAUUCUAUUUUCCAUUGCUCUUGCUUCUUCACGUGUUUUUUUACAGAGCACGCUAGAGCUUAAAUGUAUGACAGAUGGGUUUGCCGAAACUCAGUCAAAUUCCAAACUACCGAUGGCGAUGGCAAACUUGACUGCCGAGUUUCAGUAACUUAUGUAAACGUCAUAUUUAUUGACGAGAUAUCAGUAAAAAUAAGCUUUUACGACCAAGUUCGUCAAUUUAUUUUACCGAGAUGAAAAUAGUCUUUUAAGUGUGAUACAUUAUACAAGAUGAUAAAGACCAAUACCGCUUGCUAGGUAUCCAGCACCGCUGCCGCUUUUCCCAGAGGCCCCGAAGCUAAAAUCUAAUAAGAUACAACCGGUAUCCAAAUCAGAGGAAGCUGAAUUUUCCCUAUCAGUUGGCUCGACGGUAUGGCCUUCGUAACAACUUUUCUUAUGCACCGUAUGAUACACGGAUAUUGACCUAAGGACUGCAUCUACUAUUCCGUUACAAGUGGACCAAAUUGCCCAGUAGGUAUAUGAAUGGAUUACUGCUGAUUAAUUGGCGGGAAGUACAGGAUUGCGUGCACGCGACAGGUGUACGACAGGAUUCUUCAAGUCCAACUGAUUGCGCUGCAUCCCAGAAUAUGUCCGCUAUACCUUGAGCCUCUGAGGAGGUUUGGUAUCCUGAUUCCCGUUCCAACUCUUACUAAUAGUGGACCAUGUAAAUUUCUCCGUCAGCUCAUGCAGCAGCGGCUGGUUAAUGCAUUGUUGAUUUAUAAUUUGCUUAAUUGUAUAUUUGUAUUGCUUUAAUAAAUCU